GUAGUUGGUUAAGCAGUCGCUGUAUUCGCUUAAAAUACAGAGGAAAGUCCGGGCUUCACAGGACAGGGUGCCAGGUAACACCUGGGAGACGUAAGCCUACGGAAAGUGCCACAGAAAAUAUACCGCCAGUUGCAGUUAUCCGGUUUGAAUCAUUGAUAACGGCUAACUGCAAAAGGUAAGGGUGAAAAGGUGUCGGUAAGAGCGCACCGCAUUGAUGGUAACAUCAAUGGCAAGGUAAACCCCACCUGAAGCAAGACCAAAUAGGGGAAUAGUAGCCGCCGCUAAAGCGACUACCGAUGUGGUCCGCAUUAUUCCCGGGUAGGUUGCUAGAGGUAUUUGGUGACAAAUAUCCCAGAUGAAUGACUGCUACAUUGCUUACUAGAAGUGAUGAACAGAACCCGGCUUAUCGAUCAACUACCUUU
rnacentral:RNase_P_RNA from 1 species